CGGCGGACGGGUGAGUAAUGCCUAGGAAUCUGCCUGGUAGUGGGGGACAACGUUUCGAAAGGAACGCUAAUACCGCAUACGUCCUACGGGAGAAAGCAGGGGACCUUCGGGCCUUGCGCUAUCAGAUGAGCCUAGGUCGGAUUAGCUAGUUGGUGAGGUAAUGGCUCACCAAGGCGACGAUCCGUAACUGGUCUGAGAGGAUGAUCAGUCACACUGGAACUGAGACACGGUCCAGACUCCUACGGGAGGCAGCAGGA
rnacentral:rRNA from 1 species